AUGGGGAUCUCAGGAAGAUCCACAAAGCUGCCUCCCGGGGCCAAGCCUGGAAGCCGGAGAGGAUGAUGAAGAAGACGACAAUGGACCUGAACAUAAGAGAUGCGAAGAAGAGGACUGCUCUACACUGGGCCUGUGCCAAUGGCCAUGCAAAAGUAGUAACACUUCUGGUAGAUAGAAAGUGUCAGCUUGACGUCCUUGAUGGUGAAAAUAGGACCAUUCUGAUGAAGGCUCUGCAAUGCCAGAGGGAGGCUUGUGCAAAUAUUCUCAUAGAUUCUGGUGCUGAUCCAAAUAUUGUAGAUGUGUAUGGCAACACAUUAUGCUGUUAACAGUGAGAAUUUGUCAGUGGUGGCAAAAUUGCUGUCCUGUGGUGCAGACAUCGAAGUGAAGAACAAGGUAG
rnacentral:lncRNA from 1 species